rnacentral:lncRNA from 1 species
UUCCUGUACACGAACAAUAAGAGAAAUCAGGUAAGACAAAAACAAAUUUUUAAAAAUCUCAUGCUCACUGAUAGGAAGAAUCAAUCUUAUUAAAAUGGCCAUACUGCCCAAAGCAGUGUACAGAUUCAAUGCUAUUUUUAUUAAGCUACCAAUGACAUUCUUCACAGAACUAGAAAAAACUAUUUUAAAAUUCAUAUGGAACCAAAAAAGAGCCCGAAUGGCCAAGGCAACUGGAUAAAUUCCUAGACAUAUAC